rnacentral:rRNA from 1 species
AUUGAACGCUGGCGGCAUGCUUUACACAUGCAAGUCGAACGGCAGCACGAAAGAGCUUGCUCUUUUGGUGGCGAGUGGCGAACGGGUGAGUAAUGCAUCGGAACGUACCGAGUAAUGGGGAUAACUAUCCGAAAGGAUAGCUAAUACCGCAUACGCUUUGAGAAGGAAAGUGGGGGCUCUUCGGACCUCACGUUAUUCGAGCGGCCGAUGUCUGAUUAGCUAGUUGGUGGGGUAAAGGCCUACCAAGGCGACGAUCAGUAGCGGGUCUGAGAGGAUGAUCCGCCACACUGGGACUGAGACACGGCCCAGACUCCUACGGGAGGCAGCAGUGGGGAAUUUCGGACAAUGGGCGCAAGCCUGAUCCAGCCAUGCCGCGUGUCUGAAGAAGGCCUUCGGGUUGUAAAGGACUUUUGUUAGGGAAGAAAAGGAUAGUGUUAAUACCAUUAUCUGCUGACGGUACCUAAAGAAUAAGCACGG